CAGCUGUUGUAAUGGAGACAUUGACUCGAGUAUUCUUCAAUAGAGGAUAUUUCUUCUCUGUGUGCCUGGUGCUUCAAUGUUUAACGUCUUGGUGUGUUUCACGAGCCGGACGUUGUUGCCAUCUUCGAUUGUCCUCCAAUAGACCGUUUUCACAGCUUUGCGACUGGCAAUAAACCGAGUUACUGUAGCAAAUAUCAUUUUUAAUAAACUUUUUGAUAUAUCUCUUUAAACAGAACGUCUGAACUAAUUGAACUUCGGGAGCGUUUUGAGUGAGCUCCGUUCAGCACAAUGUGCUUUAUACGAUUCACACUCAGCCCGAAAACCGCUAAUUUUCGGAUUUUUUUGUUAUUGUUUUUGGAGGCAUUUUUUUUAUCAUCACUCAUAAUUUUUCGUAUGCUUAAAAAUAUAAAAAAGUUUUCCAUUUGAAUUAUUCCAUGACGUCGGUCGGUUUGUAAUGAAUGAGUAUAAAAUCAAAAAAAUUUGUAUGGGAUAGGUAAUGGUUAAUCAGAACACCAGUCACCAUGUGAGCGGCUGAUUUCUUCGUGACAUUUUUCAUGAAAAUCAUUGUCUUAUCAGGCAGACCUAUUUGUUUACCAGUGUUGUUCUGUUCAAGUUUUAUAACACCAGAGCACAAUGUCUAUAAAGUUAAUUCACAUCUGUUUUUUGUUUUUGUUGUCAUAAGAAGUAUAUUUUUAAUCGUUCAUUCAAAUGCGGGUCUAAAUAUAUAAAAAAAAAUAAUAAAUUGGAACCAGACAAUGCAGUGAUAAUAAUAUACUGAUAGUGUAAUGAUUUUGUAACUACGUUUAAUCUAACACUUGACGAAUGUCUAUCUCGUCCCGAAUUUGCAAAAACAGAUUUUUCUUGAACCUCAAAGAGCAUUUAAAGUCGAGUGG